AGAGUUUGAUCAUGGCUCAGAAUGAACGCUGGCGGCGUGCCUAACACAUGCAAGUCGUACGAGAAAAAGGGGGCUUCGGCCCUGAGUAGAGUGGCGCACGGGUGAGUAACGCGUGGGUAAUCUGCCCUUGGAUUUGGGAUAACUUCGCGAAAGUGGAGCUAAUACCGGAUAGUCUGGCUUUUAAUAGAAGUCGGUAAAGGAUGCCUCUGCAUAUGCAUUCGUCCGAGGAUGAGCCCGCGUCUCAUUAGCUAGUUGGUAGGGUAAUGGCCUACCAAGGCAACGAUGAGUAACUGGUCUGAGAGGAUGAUCAGUCACACUGGAACUGAAACACGGUCCAGACUCCUACGGGAGGCAGCAGUGGGGGAUAUUGCGCAAUGGGGGAAACCCUGAUGCAGCAACGCCGCGUGGAGGAUGACGCAUUUCGGUGUGUAAACUCCUUUUAUAAGGGGAAGAUAAUGACGGUACCUUAUGAAUAAGCACCGGCUAACUCCGUGCCAGCAGCCGCGGUAAUA
rnacentral:rRNA from 1 species